UUAAUCCCUAUGGAACUUGGAUUCCUACGUAUACUACUAGUCCGAAUAUUAUUUUGGCUAUGAAGAUAAUACUAAAAACAUCACAUUGAUUUAACAAAAAGCUAAUAAAACAUGUGCAAUGCUACAAGGGCUCAUUUGGAAUUUACCAAAUCCCUGGAAUUUGAAACUUAAUAAAAAUUAAGAGAAAAUGUAACGUAGCCCAAAGGAGAAGUGAGAUGAAACCAUCAUUUCUGCGUAAAAUUCAUUAUUUGAGGUCCCUUCUAGGUGCCACGAUUUUAGGAUCUCAAAAUCAG
rnacentral:misc_RNA from 1 species